AACGCUAGCUACAGGCUUAACACAUGCAAGUCGAGGGGCAUCAGGAAGAAAGCUUGCUUUCUUUGCUGGCGACCGGCGCACGGGUGAGUAACACGUAUCCAACCUGCCCUUUACUCGGGGAUAGCCUUUCGAAAGAAAGAUUAAUACCCGAUAGCAUAAUGAUUCCGCAUGGUUUCAUUAUUAAAGGAUUCCGGUAAAGGAUGGGGAUGCGUUCCAUUAGGUUGUUGGUGAGGUAACGGCCCACCAAGCCUUCGAUGGAUAGGGGUUCUGAGAGGAAGGUCCCCCACAUUGGAACUGAGACACGGUCCAAACUCCUACGGGAGGCAGCAGUGAGGAAUAUUGGUCAAUGGGCGCUAGCCUGAACCAGCCAAGUAGCGUGAAGGAUGAAGGCUCUAUGGGUCGUAAACUUCUUUUAUAUAAGAAUAAAGUGCAGUAUGUAUACUGUUUUGUAUGUAUUAUAUGAAUAAGGAUCGGCUAACUCCGUGCCAGCAGCCGCGGUAAUACGGAGGAUCCGAGCGUUAUCCGGAUUUAUUGGGUUUAAAGGGAGCGUAGGUGGACUGGUAAGUCAGUUGUGAAAGUUUGCGGCUCAACCGUAAAAUUGCAGUUGAUACUGUCAGUCUUGAGUACAGUAGAGGUGGGCGGAAUUCGUGGUGUAGCGGUGAAAUGCUUAGAUAUCACGAAGAACUCCGAUUGCGAAGGCAGCUCACUGGACUGCAACUGACACUGAUGCUCGAAAGUGUGGGUAUCAAACAGGAUUAGAUACCCUGGUAGUCCACACAGUGAACGAUGAAUACUCGCUGUUUGCGAUAUACAGUAAGCGGCCAAGCGAAAGCAUUAAGUAUUCCACCUGGGGAGUACGCCGGCAACGGUGAAACUCAAAGGAAUUGACGGGGGCCCGCACAAGCGGAGGAACAUGUGGUUUAAUUCGAUGAUACGCGAGGAACCUUACCCGGGCUUAAAUUGCAGUGGAAUGAUGUGGAAACAUGUCAGUGAGCAAUCACCGCUGUGAAGGUGCUGCAUGGUUGUCGUCAGCUCGUGCCGUGAGGUGUCGGCUUAAGUGCCAUAACGAGCGCAACCCUUAUCUUUAGUUACUAACAGGUUAUGCUGAGGACUCUGGAGAGACUGCCGUCGUAAGAUGUGAGGAAGGUGGGGAUGACGUCAAAUCAGCACGGCCCUUACGUCCGGGGCUACACACGUGUUACAAUGGGGGGUACAGAAGGCAGCUAGCGGGUGACCGUAUGCUAAUCCCAAAAGCCUCUCUCAGUUCGGAUCGAAGUCUGCAACCCGACUUCGUGAAGCUGGAUUCGCUAGUAAUCGCGCAUCAGCCAUGGCGCGGUGAAUACGUUCCCGGGCCUUGUACACACCGCCCGUCAAGCCAUGGGAGCCGGGGGUACCUGAAGUACGUAACCGCAAGGAUCGUCCUAGGGUAAAACUGGUGACUGGGGCU
rnacentral:rRNA from 1 species